rnacentral:rRNA from 1 species
GAUGAACGCUAGCGGGAGGCUUAACACAUGCAAGUCGAGGGGCAGCAUAGGGUAGCAAUACUCUGAUGGCGACCGGCAAACGGGUGAGUAACGCGUAUGCAACCUACCCUGUACAGGGGGAUAACCCGGAGAAAUUCGGACUAAUAUCCCGUAAUAAUAUCCGGAGGCAUCUUUGGAUAUUUAAAGUUCCGACGGUACGGGAUGGGCAUGCGUAACAUUAGCUGGUUGGUAAGGUAACGGCUUACCAAGGCUAUGAUGUUUAGGGGUCCUGAGAGGGUGGUCCCCCACACUGGUACUGAGACACGGACCAGACUCCUACGGGAGGCAGCAGUGAGGAAUAUUGGUCAAUGGGCGCAAGCCUGAACCAGCCAUCCCGCGUGCAGGAAGACGGCCCUAUGGGUUGUAAACUGCUUUUCCAGGGAGAGAACUUACGCACGUGUUGCGUGACUGACGGUACCCUGGGAAUAAGCAUCGGCUAACUCCGUG